ensembl:lncRNA
GGCAGAUAGGAGGAGAUAUAGGGGAGAUAUAGGGGAUGUAGGGGGCAGAUAGGAGGAGAUAUAGGGGAGAUAUAGGGGAUGUAGGGGCAGAUAGGAGGAGAUAUAGGGGAGAUAUAGUGUAUGUAGGGGCAGAUAGGAGGAGAUAUAGGGGAUGUAGGGGCAGAAAGGAGGAGAUAUAGGGGAGAUAUAGGGGAUAUGGGGAGAUAUAGGGGAUGUAGGGGCAGAAAGGAGGAGAUAUAGGGGAGAUAUAGGGGAUAUGGGGGGAUAUAGGGGAGAUAUAGGGGAGAUAUAGGGGAUGUAGGGGCAGAUAGGAGGAGAUAUAGGGGAUAUAUAGGGGAUGUAGGGGCAGAUAGGAGGAGAUAUAGGGAGAUAUAGGGGAUGUAGGGGCAGAUAGGAGGAGAUAUAGGGAGAUAUAGGGGAUGUAGGGGC